rnacentral:rRNA from 1 species
UACAGAGGGUGCAAGCGUUAAUCGGAAUUACUGGGCGUAAAGGGCGCGUAGGCGGUGAAUUAAGUCGGAUGUGAAAUCCCUGGGCUCAACCUAGGAACUGCAUCCGAUACUGGUUUGCUAGAGUGCAGUAGAGGGUAGUGGAAUUUCCGGUGUAGCGGUGAAAUGCGUAGAUAUCGGAAGGAACACCAGUGGCGAAGGCGGCUACCUGGACUGACACUGACGCUGAGGCGCGAGAGCGUGGGGAGCAAACAGG